rnacentral:lncRNA from 1 species
UUCAAAAAUAUGUAGGUAAAAAAUGUUGGAUUUUAAAAUAGACAUUGUACAAUACGGAUAUGUAAAAAGAUGCAGUAGUAUCUAUCAAAACAGUCUACAUGGGUAGUUGGAAAUGAAGGAAGAGUAAUUUCUUGAAAAGGCAUACUACAUUAUUUCUACACGAUUUGUUGCCAGAAAUAAGCGUGUGUUCCACAUACUACUGGCUUGCUAGUUGGAUAAAAAACAAAGUUCGUCCAUACGAUUCCAACUCUUUCCUUCAUUCCUACUUUAAGAAAUAUACAAUAUGAAGUGGUGGUGUUUGAUUUUGGGCCUUGCUUUCCUUCAAGUCGCCGUUUUCUUUGAAAACGUAGAGGCCUCCAAGGAUACUGAUGGAGAUGGUAUUCCUGACUCUGAGGAUGAAGAUGAUGACAAUGACGGAAUCCCUGAUAUUGAAGACAAUGAUGACGAUGGUGAUGGAAUACUCGACGAGGACGAUGACGAUCAUCAUGAUGAGAUAUGAUAGGAAUGGGCAAUGAUUUGAUGCCAUUCCCUACUAUAUCUUUAUUUAUUCAUUAAAAAUUUAUUAUUAUCCAUAUAAAUUUAUACAUUAUAGUAUUUAAAGAUGCUUCUUUAUAUGGUAUAAUUUUGCAAAAUCUACGUAAUUAAUAUAUAUUUUAUACCCCAAAAUGCAAUCAUCCCUAAUUUAAUAAUUAUUACUACAUUUGUGUAUGUAAUAUUAAUUAAUAAACCUUGUAUUACUGAACUCUUAAAUGUCUUUGCAUACUUAAUUGGACAUGUAUCCAUAUAAAUAUAUAUUUCUUUAUAA